rnacentral:lncRNA from 1 species
UUCUUUUGAUUCACUACGUAUUUAGGUUUUGGUGAUAAUUUCCCAGGUAGUCUGGUGUUAGCUGCUGGUUUUAUUCCCGCCUGAAUUUUACAAUAUAACAAUGUAAGCACAUGAGAUAUAACUACGAGACAUCUGUAAAACGCACAGAUUUAUGUGUGAGUCUCUUUCUUUCAAUGCCACAUGACACUGUAAAUCACACGUUUGAAGCUUCACAUCACAAUAAAUUAAACCUUUCUUACUGUUGAAGGUUAUGCGGAUUCUGGAGUCAAGCCUACGACCUGUAGGAACCUGCUGCACUGCUACAUAUUGGAUCGCACAACGAUGCACUUGACCUGCAUGCUUUUACAAGGUGCCCUGUGAGCUCUCAUCCAAGCACCGCAUUGCAGAGAUCUGCUGUGAGCAGACGUGGCAAAUUGAAGUAACAUACAGAUAGUCCAAUAAAAUACUCGUAAUUUCAGACAAAC